rnacentral:rRNA from 1 species
AGUGAACGCUGGCGGUAGGCUUAACACAUGCAAGUCGAACGGCAGCACAGUAAGAGCUUGCUCUUACGGGUGGCGAGUGGCGGACGGGUGAGGAAUACAUCGGAAUCUACUUUUUCGUGGGGGAUAACGUAGGGAAACUUACGCUAAUACCGCAUACGACCUACGGGUGAAAGCAGGGGAUCUUCGGACCUUGCGCGAUUGAAUGAGCCGAUGUCGGAUUAGCUAGUUGGCGGGGUAAAGGCCCACCAAGGCGACGAUCCGUAGCUGGUCUGAGAGGAUGAUCAGCCACACUGGAACUGGGACACGGUCCAGACUCCUACGGGAGGCAGCAGUGGGGAAUAUUGGACAAUGGGCGCAAACCUGAUCCAGCCAUACCGCGUGGGUGAAGAAGGCCUUCGGGUUGUAAAGCCCUUUUGUUGGGAAAGAAAAGCAGCAGGUUAAUACCCCGCUGUUCUGACGGUACCCAAAGAAUAAGCACCGGCUAACUUCGUG